rnacentral:ncRNA from 1 species
CUAAAAGUUUGGUCCUAGCCUUACUAUCAUUUAUAACCAGUUUUAUACAUGCAAGUUUCCGCACCCCAGUGAACAGCCCAACCAAAAGCAGGAGCUGAUAUCAGGCACAUAACCCUUAUAGCCAAAAACAUCCAGAUAAUCCACACCCUCAAGGGCAUGCAGCAGUGAUAAACAUUGAAUAUGAGCAAAAACUAAGCUCGACACAGAAAUGGUUAACAGAGUCGGUAAAUCUCGUGCCAGCCACCGCGGCUAUACGAAAGACACAAACUGAUACUUUGACGGCGUAAAGCGUGGUAUAACCUAAAUUUAUUCUCUAAGGCUAAAAUCUUACUAAACUGUUAUACGUUGAAUAGAAAGACAUAAACCCAACAACGAAAGUAGCCUUAUUUUACCAAACAUUUUUACCCCACCACCGCUAAGACACAAACUGGGAUUAGAGACCCCACUAUGCUUAGCCACAAACUGCUUAUACUACUACCAUCCGCCAGAAAACUACGAGCAAUAGCUUAAAAUUCAAAGGACUUGGCGGUGCCCCAAACCCACCCAGAGGAGCCUGUUCUUUAAUCGAUAAUCCACGCUUUACCUCACCAUCUCUAGCCACUUCAGCCUAUAUACCACCGUCACCAGCUAACCUUGUGAAAGAACAAAAAUUAGCAAAAUGAAUUCUAACUCAAUACGUCAGGUCAAGGUGUAGCACACGAGAUGGGAAGAAAUGGGCUACAUUUUCCUAUUAAGAACUUACGAAUUCAUGUAAUGAAAACAACAUAUGAAGCAGGAUUUGGCAGUAAAAAGAAACUAUAAAAUUCUUUUUAAAAAGGCCAUGGGGCGCGCACACACCGCCCGUCACUCUCAUCAACUAAAAUAACAACAAACAUAUUUAAAUUACCUCUACCUAGAUGAGGAAAGUCGUAACAUGGUAAGCGCACUGGAAAGUGCUCUUGGAUUAAUCAAAAUGAAAAAUACUACUUAAAAAAAGACAUUUUGAAACACCAUACAAAUCCUAUUCUGAUCAAUUGCAGCCAACGCAGUAAUCCUAACCUGAAUUGGCGGACAACCAGUAGAAGACCCUCUAAUUUUAAUUGGACAAAUUUCAACUGUAAUUUAUUCCCCUACA